UACGGAGGGGGCUAGCGUUGUUCGGAAUUACUGGGCGUAAAGCGCACGUAGGCGGCUUUGUAAGUUAGAGGUGAAAGCCCGGGGCUCAACUCCGGAAUUGCCUUUAAGACUGCAUCGCUAGAAUUGUGGAGAGGUAAGUGGAAUUCCGAGUGUAGAGGUGAAAUGCGCAGAUAUCAGGAGGAACACCAAUGGCGAAGGCAGCACUCUGGGACGGUACUGACGCUGAGACGCGAAAGCGUGGGGAGCAAACAGG
rnacentral:rRNA from 1 species